GCGUAUGGCGGAGUGGUUAAACGCGCAAGAUUAGGGAUCUUGUUACUAUUUGAAAGCAUCGGUUCGAGUCCGAUAUGCA
rnacentral:tRNA from 1 species